rnacentral:rRNA from 1 species
UACGGGGGGGGGCAAGCGUCGUUCGGAAUUACUGGGCGUAAAGGGCUCGUAGGCGGCCAACUAAGUCGGACGUGAAAUCCCCAGGCUCAACCUGGGAACUGCGUCCGAUACUGGAUGGCUUGAAUCCGGGAGAGGGAUGCAGAAUUCCAGGUGUAGCGGUGAAAUGCGUAGAUAUCUGGAGGAACACCGGUGGCGAAGGCGGCAUCCUGGACCGGCAUUGACGCUGAGGCGCGAAAGCUAGGGGAGCAAACGGG